rnacentral:rRNA from 1 species
GACGUAGGACGCGAGCGUUGUCCGGAUUUAUUGGGCGUAAAGAGCUCGUAGGCGGUUCGGUAAGUCGGGUGUGAAAACUCUGGGCUCAACCCAGAGAGGCCACCCGAUACUGCUGUGACUAGAGUGCGGUAGGGGAGCGGGGAAUUCCUGGUGUAGCGGUGAAAUGCGCAGAUAUCAGGAGGAACACCAGCGGCGAAGGCGCCGCUCUGGGCCGUAACUGACGCUGAGGAGCGAAAGCAUGGGUAGCAAACAGG